CCUACGGGGUGCAGCAGUAGGGAAUAUUGCUCAAUGGGGGAAACCCUGAAGCAGCAACGCCGUGUGGAGGAUGAAGGUUUUCGGAUUGUAAACUCCUUUUGGUAGAGAAGAUAAUGACGGUAUCUAACGAAUAAGCACCGGCUAACUCCGUGCCAGCAGCCGCGGUAAUACGGAGGGUGCAAGCGUUACUCGGAAUCACUGGGCGUAAAGAGCGCGUAGGCGGGAUAGCAAGUCAGAUGUGAAAUCCUAGGGCUUAACCAUAGAACUGCAGUUGAAACUGUUAUUCUAGAGUAUGGGAGAGGUAGGUGGAAUUCGUGGUGUAGGGGUAAAAUCCGUAGAGAUCAAGAGGAAUACUCAUUGCGAAGGCGACCUGCUAGAACAUAACUGACGCUGAUGCGCGAAAGCGUGGGGAGCAAACAGGAUUAGAUACCCUUGUAGUC
rnacentral:rRNA from 1 species